UGACGAGUUUGAUCCUGGCUCAGAUUGAACGCUGGCGGAAUGCUUUACACAUGCAAGUCGAACGGUAGAGGGGGCAACCCCUCGAGAGUGGCGAACGGGUGAGUAAUAUAUCGGAACGUGCCCAGUCAUGGGGGAUAACGUAGCGAAAGUUACGCUAAUACCGCAUACGAUCUAAGGAUGAAAGCGGGGGACUCGCAAGACCUCGCGCGAUUGGAGCGGCCGAUAUCAGAUUAGGUAGUUGGUGGGGUAAACGGCUCACCAAGCCAACGAUCUGUAGCUGGUCUGAGA
rnacentral:rRNA from 1 species